AUCGAACGCUGGCGGCAGGCCUAAUACAUGCAAGUCGAGCGGAGCGGCGGACGGGUGAGUAAUGCCUAGGAAUCUGCCUGGUAGUGGGGGAUAACGUCCGGAAACGGGCGCUAAUACCGCAUACUAUCAGAUGAGCCUCGGUCGGAUUAGCUAGUUGGUGGGGUAAAGGCCUACCAAGGCGACGAUCCGUAGCUGGUCUGAGAGGAUGAUCAGUCACACUGGAACUGAGACACGGUCCAGACUCCUACGGGAGGCAGCAGUGGGGAAUAUUGGACAAUGGGCGAAAGUCUGAGCCAGCCAUGCCGCGUGUGUGAAGAAGGUCUUCGGAUUGUAAAGCACUGUAAGUUGGGAGGCGUUACCAACAGAAUAAGCACCGGCUAACUACGUGCCAGCAGCCGCGGUAAUUC
rnacentral:rRNA from 1 species